AGAGUUUGAUCCUGGCUCAGAUUGAACGCUGGCGGCAGGCCCAACACAUGCAAGUCGAGCGGUAGAGAGAAGCUUGCUUCUCUUGAGAGCGGCGGACGGGUGAGUAAUGCCUAGGAAUCUGCCUGGUAGUGGGGGAUAACGUUCGGAAACGGACGCUAAUACCGCAUACGUCCUACGGGAGAAAGCAGGGGACCUUCGGGCCUUGCGCUAUCAGAUGAGCCUAGGUCGGAUUAGCUAGUUGGUGGGGUAAUGGCUCACCAAGGCGACGAUCCGUAACUGGUCUGAGAGGAUGAUCAGUCACACUGGAACUGAGACACGGUCCAGACUCCUACGGGAGGCAGCAGUGGGGAAUAUUGGACAAUGGGCGAACGCCUGAUCCAGCCAUGCCGCGUGUGUGAAGAAGGUCUUCGGAUUGUAAAGCACUUUAAGUUGGGAGGAAGGGCAGUUACCUAAUACGUAAUUGUUUUGACGUUACCGACAGAAUAAGCACCGGCUAACUCUGUGCCAGCAGCCGCGGUAAUACAGAGGGUGCAAGCGUUAAUCGGAAUUACUGGGCGUAAAGCGCGCGUAGGUGGUUUGUUAAAGUUGGAUGUGAAGUCCCCGGGC
rnacentral:rRNA from 1 species